CUUAUUUCCAUUGGUUUAUUUCAUCACGGUACAUACAAAUUGUUUUCAUUAAAUGAACAUCAAGCUAAAAAGCACAGAAUAUGGCAACUAUUUCUUAACAUUUCCCCAAUUCAAUCAAUUCAUCUGGCAAUAAAAGAAACAAUACAAUCAAAGUCAACAGAACUAUAUUAGCCAAGACCAAGCUGGGACAGUAAGUAGUAGCUUUGUGUAGUUCAAAAUAGACAUUUGUGUUUUCAAUCCAGAGUUCUAAUCUAGUUAGAAAGCCUGAAGACUAAGUCAAGACUUUCAGAAUGUUAGCUUCAAAAUGUACAGAGACUGAAUAAGAAACACCAUCCAGGACAGCCUCGUCAAUGCCCAAGCAACUUUCAUUUAUGUACAAGAAAUGCAUAAACUCACACAGAAAAAGAGAUUGAAACAGAAUUUGAUUCUCUGUUUGACAUAAACACACACAGUGAUAUAGGGCUAGAAAACAAAGGGGAGAUCAGUUGAAACAGAUCAUUGAUGACCUUCUGUCUGUAAGUUUACUUCCAUCUAAAGCAUGAUAAACUUUGUACAAGAGCAGUUCUAUCUUCCCAUUGACUUUAGCAAGUAUGCAGUUCCAAAAUAGAGGACAACAUAACAGAGGACUUUAAAAUACAUAACAACAGCAAUGCAGUAGAAUUUGUUUUUUUAAAUUCUGUUUGAUCAUUAAUACAAUUAAAAAGGAUUUAACUAAAGACGAAAAAAAAAUUAAAUGCAAUAGUAAUGUGAACACUGAUCUCAAGCAUUCAGAGCAACAAGCAAUAACUGUGACAUUGAAGACUUCAUGGAUUUUCAGUUGUUUUUUUUUUUUUGUUUUUUUUCUUU